AUCUGCCUGGAGUGUACGUCACUUCCUGUUUUUGAACCUUCAUGACUUAUAAGGGAGCUUAUCGUCGAUGCGGAAUACGGACUGCCCGCAAGGGAUUCCCAAGACCGCCGCGGGGCACCCACCUGGCUUUGAUUGCUAGGUGUCAAAAAGGAAGAACGGCAUUCCGGGUUAUUU
rnacentral:other from 1 species